rnacentral:rRNA from 1 species
ACGAAGGGUGCAAGCGUUACUCGGAAUUACUGGGCGUAAAGCGUGCGUAGGUGGUUCGUUAAGUCUGAUGUGAAAGCCCUGGGCUCAACCUGGGAAUGGCAUUGGAUACUGGCGACCUAGAGUGCGGUAGAGGGUAGCGGAAUUCCCGGUGUAGCAGUGAAAUGCGUAGAUAUUGGGAAGAACACCGGUGGCGAAGGCGGCGCUCUGGCCCGAGACUGACGCUGAGGCGCGAAAGCGUGGGGAGCAAACAGGA